CAGUAGCCGCGGUAAUACAGAGGGUGCGAGCGUUAAUCGGAUUUACUGGGCGUAAAGCGUGCGUAGGCGGCUUUUUAAGUCGGAUGUGAAAUCCCUGAGCUUAACUUAGGAAUUGCAUUCGAUACUGGGAAGCUAGAGUAUGGGAGAGGAUGGUAGAAUUCCAGGUGUAGCGGUGAAAUGCGUAGAGAUCUGGAGGAAUACCGAUGGCGAAGGAAGCCAUCUGGCCUAAUACUGACGCUGAGGUACGAAAGCAUGGGGAGCAAACAGGAUUAGAUACCCCCGUAGUCCCUGUCUCUUAUAC
rnacentral:rRNA from 1 species